rnacentral:lncRNA from 1 species
CUGCUAUUUAAAUCACCAAACAUCCUUUUUGUAUUAGGUUCUUCAAUCAAAUAACAUUACAUAAGCUAGUUCAGAGGCUUAAUAAACAAACUUACUAGCAUUAAGUUCCAAAAUUUGAAGAUAAUAACUCGGUAAAAGGCAAAAAAGUCUUGACAUCAUAUUCCUACAAGAAACAAAAUUUGAAAUGGAGGCACGAAGAUUACAUCCCGGUGAAAGCUUUUUUCCCGCCACCACCAGAACCAGCUGGAAUAACCUUUAAGACAUUGAACCUCACGGUUUUGGAUAAAGGCCUGUGAAACAGAAAACGUUAUCACCUACAAUAACAGCAAAUAAUGAAAAAAAUACUAUAGAAAAAUCAAAAAUAAGAUUGUGUUAACCUGCACUGCCCAAUAGUAACAUGAUCUCCCUCUUUCACACGGAAGCAUGGUGAUAUGUGAGCUGGAAUAUUGGAGUGCCUCUUCUCAUAUCUGAAAUAACUUAUGUGUUAAAACUAACAAAAGAAGAAGUGAGGCAGCCAACAUAGUAUAAGUGACAAGCUCUUGCCUCUGAUACUUCUUGACAUAAUGUAGGUAAUUACGUCGAACAAUGAUGGUUCUGUUCAUCUUAGCACUGUGGCAUGUACCAGCAAGGAUACGACCUCGGAUCGAAACAUUGCCAGUGAAUGGGCAUUUCUUGUCAAUAUACGUACCUAUAUUUAAAUAGACCAAACAUAAGGUUAGACCACAGAACAAGGCGAAAUUAAGGAAAUCCAUUAAAUAAUCAAAACAAUCUGGUACAACAUUAUAGAAAAGAUGACUUGAAAUCUGAGGAAAUCUUUGUUCUUAAAGUCAAUUCUCAACUAUCCACAUAAAGGUCACACAAAUAGCUAUUUAGGAAGUAUCUUUUAUUUACUAGUUUUACUUAAAUGUAAGUAAAUGCAGUCUCUUGGAAUGCCCACAUAAGAAAUUUACCACGUGCUAUUGAUCUUAGUUUGGUCAGGUUGAAGUAGGAAACAAAAAGGAAUAAAUAAGUUAAAAUCCAAUCCCCUGCUUUCUCCUCCGAACUUAUAGCACCACUUUGAUUCAGCACUUAUUUGAUAUAUUAAGGUCAUCCACAUCAUAACCAUAUACUAUUGAGAUCCAUACCUAUCACCAAAUGACAGUAAGGAGAAGGUUUUUAUUCACAGUAUCAUAUCCUAUGUAAGCUCCAUAAAUGUUAACAGAUGCUAGCAAGGUGAAUGUCUUUAUUCUAUUUGACAAUUGGAACAAAAAGUCCUAGUAAAAAAGUUUCAACUUGGCCUGUUAUCACAGAAGACUACUUCUGUCAAAGGUUAAAUAGUUGGAGAACAAAAUAUCCAGUUUAUGUGAAGCAAAGGCAGAAUCAAUAGCUUCAAGCCUUCAAGAGAAGAAGCUAUGGAGAAGAACAAAGUUGCUUCAAUCCUAAAUGCUUUUGGUUUUAUCAGAAAUUCCAUAGAAGAUUUAAAAGAAAAUCAAGAGAAGGCCACAUGACUGGUUAAACACAUAUGGAUAACUUGCACCCCACGUCGUCUUAAUAACCCGAGUCCCAGCUAAUAAUAAAUUGUAGAAACAAAAAUAUAGUGCAGUGUUUUGGAGAGCAAGAAGCAGAAAAAUACACCGAGUGCUUGCUUCACUGAAGAGUGAAGCGAAGCGCACACUUUUUCUUCUAAAGCAUUAUUUAGUACAAAAAAUAAAAAAUAUUAUAUAUGCAUAUAUAAAUAACCAAGAACUCAAUAGAAAUAAGAUAUUAAGCAAAAUUUUCAAUUCUUAAAUUAAAAAGUAAAUAAAAGACGGUCAAUAAUCCUCAUUAUCAUAACAUAUUAAGCAAAUGCAAACAGCAAAACCAAACAAGUAAAAAAAACAGAUCAUAACAGGGGGAAAAACCCUAGAAGUAGUCACUGAAAGCCUGAAAGAGAGUCCAGAGAAGAAGAAGAAAAGAGAGGAAGAACUUAUCAUUUGAGUCGCAGCAACAAAUGUUGAGAUGUUUGAGUCAUAGAAGAAGAAGAGGGAAAUGUUUGAGUCGCACCAGACAAAUGUGUUAUACAAAAGUUAAAAAAAAACCUAAGCGCGCUUUUUGUCGCCUUUACUUUAAGCGCGCUUCUAGCUUCACCUACUGAAGCGCUCACUUUUUUAGCAGCGACUGGCUUCAGAGCAUAAAAGCGCAGUGCUUGCGCCUUGCUUCAUGCACACUUUUUGUUGCUUUUCACAAAACUGAUAUAGUGUUUCCCCUUGUAUACUCAAAUUGCAUCAAACCAUAUUUCAUUCAUUUCAGACACAUAGAAAAUAGCUUCAUAAUAGAAAGAUUUACCAAAUGACAACUACAAUGGAAAAACUAUAACUUAAAAGAAAGUUUACAAAGUGCCCACAUUGCAAAAACUUUUAACUUGUUACUAGAAAAAUUUAUCAAAUGCCAACUAAGUUGCAGAAACAUAAUACAAGUGACUUUUUGGCCAUUUAGAGCAAGUAGGCCCAUUACUUUAAGGCAUGAAUGAUUUGCACCUCAACCUUAAUACUAAACUAGUUGGUACUGAAUACAUCAAGACAAUAUAGAAAGAAAAGAACCGAAAGUGGAAAUCGGAAACUAGACUAAUAGACUUUAUGUUGGGCUCCAUUCAGACCAUAAUAACAUAUUCUCUGGCCAGAAAGUAAAUCACAGGUUGAGAUCCUAACUCAAUCAAAAUUCACACGUCUAAGUCAGAACUCAGAAGUAGUUCUUAAGGCCUUUAGUACGAAACAAUUUGCGCAUCAACCUUAAUCCUAACUAGUUGGUACUGAAUAUAGAAAGAAAAGAACCGAAAGUGGAAAUCGAAAACUAGUCUUAUUCUUAUAGACUUUAUGUUGGGCUCCAUUCAGACCAUAAUAACAUAUUCUCCGGCCAGAACAUAAAUCACAUGUUGAGAUCCUAACUCAAUCUAAAUUCGCAAUGUCCAAGUCAGAAGUAGUUCUUAAGGCCUUUAGUACGAAAUAGCUUCAUCAGGACUAUAUUAUCCCAGAGCUAUGGAGGUGAACAUGGGCUAUCGUAGUUGCUCCUCUGUGACUUUCGACUGAGCCGGCAGGAAGACUGAUAAUUCGUCGACUAGAUAUAUCUAAUAUGGCAUUUGGCGUUCCACCAACAAAAUUGCUGUUUAGACUGACACACUACUAUAUUCACUAUGCGCUCAUAUCUAAAAUAUAAAUCAACAAUGCAGAAACCAAAUGAACUACAGUAAUUGAGCAAAUAAAUACGAACCUUCAGUAGCCUCACGAGGAGUCUUGAAUCCUAAGCCGAUACUCUUGAAGUAUCGAUUGCCUCCCUUUCCUGGUCUCUUUCCCUUCCCGGUCUUCUUAGAGCUGCCGAAAUCGAUCAGAUAAACGCAAAUCUUAGGCUAAAACCCCUCCUAAGUUACGGAAUUUAACAGAUUGCUCAGAAUACUCACCUUAGAAACACACCUGGCUGCUUCAAAAACGCCUUCUCCGUCUGCUCCGCCAUGAUUGAAAGGAAGAUCAACGGAAGGCGGGAGAGAUGCUCGUACAAAAAACCCUAAUUUGCCGUGGAGAAUGAGGGAUUGGUGGGCUUAAAAAAACUUAUCUACUUUACAUACUAUGGACUGGAUUUGCAAAAAAAUGGGCUAAUGUAUAGAAGAGCCCAAAAUCUAACUAACUAAAAUUGUAAAAAAUUGAGAUUCGGACAUUGUUUAAAGGGUGUGAUAUAUCCUUCAACUUUGUCAUUUAGAGCUGAUAUACCCCUCGUUAUGAAAGUGACUCAUAUAACCCCUACUUAUAUACAAAUGGCUCACAUAUACCCUUUUUCUCUAACGGAAGUGGAAAAAAAGUAAUUUUAGUUUAAUUAUUUAAUUAUUUAUUUUAAAAAAAUAUAAUCCCAUAUGGGUAUAUUUAAUCCUCCUCAAACAUAUAUAUAUUUUUUAACUUUUUUUUGUUUCAAUGACUAAUUUAGAUUUAUUAUUUUGAUGGUCAAAUUUAUUUAUGUUUCACUAAUAUUCUUGUAAAACUUAUUAUAGAUGACCAAAUUUUUUUNNNNNNNNNNNNNNNNNNNNNNNNNNNNNNNNNNNNNNNNNNNNNNNNNNNNNNNNNNNNNNNNNNNNNNNNNNNNNNNNNNNNNNNNNNNNNNNNNNNNNNNNNNNNNNNNNNNNNNNNNNNNNNNNNNNNNNNNNNNNNNNNNNNNNNNNNNNNNNNNNNNNNNNNNNNNNNNNNNNNNNNNNNNNNNNNNNNNNNNNNNNNNNNNNNNNNNNNNNNNNNNNNNNNNNNNNNNNNNNNNNNNNNNNNNNNNNNNNNNNNNNNNNNNNNNNNNNNNNNNNNNNNNNNNNNNNNNNNNNNNNNNNNNNNNNNNNAGUGGCUCAUAUAUACCCCUACUUAUAUACAAAUGGCUCACAUAUACCCUUUUUCUCUAACGGAAGUGGAAAAAAAGUAAUUUUAGUUUAAUUAUUUAAUUAUUUAUUUUAAAAAAAUAUAAUCCCAUAUGGGUAUAUUUAAUCCUCCUCAAACAUUUUUUUUUUGUUUCAAUGGCUAAUUUAGAUUUAUUAUUUUGAUGGUCAAAUUUAUUUAUGUUUCACUAAUAUUCUUGUAAAAUUUAUUAUAGAUGACCCAAUUUUUUUCUUCAAAUACAAAAACUAAAUUACAAUAUAGCAAAAAAAAAUUGUUUUAAAUUAUAAUAUAGCCACAAAAAAAUAAUUUUAAUUUUUUUUCUUUACACUAAGGAAUGAAAGAAAAAAAUAAAAUAAGAAUAAGAAACUCAAAUAAUGAUAAUCAAAGAAGUCAAAAAAUAAUUUAUGUAUGAAAAAGAUUAAAAUAUAUCAUGAACUUUGCUAGAAGAAUCAUAUAUACCCCUAAAUGAUUUUAAAAAAAAUUAAAAGUCAAAAAUAUAAAUUUAAAACUAAAAUUUUCACUUCCGUUAAAUGUAGGGUAUAUGUGAGCUCAUUUUGUAACGGUAGGGGUAUAUGUGAGCAGUUUGUAUAAUGGUAAGGGUAUAUAUGAGCCACUUUCAUAACGAGGGGCAUAUCAGCUCCAAAUGACAAAGUUGAAGGGUAUAUCAGACCCUUUUUCCUUUAAUUUUUAUAGGUAACUAUGAUGCACAGAAUUCAGAAAAAAUAUAUUUACUAUAGUUAUAUGUAUCGCAACUUCAAUCAUAUGAAAUUUUAGAUAUCACAUAAUGUGAAGUUAAUCCGAAAUGAAUAAAUUUGUUAUUUUGUGUGACCUACAAAUACAUCUUAAAUGGUGAUUGUAAAAUUGAAUAUUUAUGCACGUCAAAGACUAAAAUUUUCACCUUAUUAUGUUCACACUUUCGAGCCUCAAUGAUCUGUCAUGAAUAAUUUUAUACUAGUAUGACUGCGAUCAAAUCUUUCUGUAACAGUCAUUCGAUCAUUUUUGUCCAUUAAAACAAUUUAUUGUUGUACAUUUAUAAUUACAUUUGACAUUUGAAUUUUGGCAUUCAUCUUUUUAAUAUUAUAAUAGAAAAAUAAAUAAAUUUAAGACAUGAAAAGUACUUAUUCGAUGUUUAGAUUUCAUAUAGCAUAAAUUAUAUUAAGGGAAAAGGGUCAAAAAUAUCCCUCAAUUUUAUUUUGUUAGUUGAUUAUAUCCCUAUAGUUAAAACAAAGUUAUUCAUACCCUCGUUGUCACUAUUUUCACCAUUUAUACCCCUCAAUUGACGGAAAUCCCUAAAUUGACUCAAAUUAACCUGAAUUUUUUAAAAAAAAGACCAAUUCCUCAUUUUAAACCCAAUUCCCCAUAAUAUAACCCAUUCCCUUUUUACUCAUUCUUUCAAUUUUUUUUAUAUAAUCCAUUCCCCUUUACACAUUAACUUCUCCUCGAUUGUUCUUCAUUUUCCUUACCCAUUUAAUGUGACUGAUUGUAUUAAGCAACAUCCUGGUGGAGAUAUCCCUUUACUUAAUCUUGCUGGACAAGAAGCAAUUGAUCCAUCUUUUCAUUCAGGUACUGCUUGGAAUCAUCUUGAUAACUUCUUUACUGGUUAUUAUUUAGAAGAUUAUCAUAUUUCUGAGGUAUCAAGGGGUUAUAGAAAUCUUUGUGUUGACUUUGUUAAAACUUGAUUGUUUGAGAAAAAGGGUCAUGGGGUUAUGUAUUCAUUCUGUUUUAUUGAGAUUUUGUUUUUCUUGACUUUCUAUGGUGUAAUUUUUAGUGAUAGUUUCUUGAUUCAUAUGCUUUUUAGAGCAUUGUUGGGGUUAACUUGGAUGCAGAUUUCUUAUUUAGGUCAUGAUUCUGGUCAUUACUUGAUUAUGACAAAUAAGGGGUUCAAUAAAAUGAUACAAAUUAUGUCAGGAAAUUGUCUUACUGGGAUUAGUAUUGCUUGGUGGAAAUGGACUCAUAAUGCUUGGCUUGUAAUAGCUUGGAUUAUGAUCCUGAUCUUCAGCACUUGCUAGUUUUUGCAGUAUCUUCAAGUUUGUUCAAGUCAUUGAAUUCUACCUUCUAUGGAAGAGAGUUAACGCUUGAUUCCCUGGCGAAAUUCUUUGUCAGCUAUCAACAUUUUACAUUUUAUCCAAUCAUUUAUGUUUCUAGGGCGAAUUUGUUUGUACAAACGUUGUUGUUAUUGUUCUCUAUAAGGAAAGUGCAUGAUAGACUUUUGAACAUUUUGGGAAAUGAAGAAUAAUUGAGAAGAAGUUGAUGGGUAAAGGGGAAUGAGUUAUAUGAAAAAUUUGAAAGAAUGGGUAAGAGGGGAAUGAGUUAUAUGGAUUAUACUAUGGGGCAUUGAAUUUAAAACGGGGAAUGAGUUUUUUUUUAUAAUUCGGGAUAAUUUGAGUCAAUUGAGGGGGUAUAAAUAGUGAAAUUAGUGACGGCGAGGGUAUGAAUAACUUUGUUUUAACGGUAGGGAUAUAGUCAGCUAAUAAAACAAAGCUGAGGGAUAUUUUUGACCCUUUUUCCUUAUAUUAAUCAAUAAUUUUCUCACAUAAAUAUUUCAAUUUUACACCCUUUUUAUCUAAAUAAAAUAUAGAUAUACCCAAAUCAUUCCAUAAUGAAAGUAUACUUGAUGUAAUAUGCUUUAUCAAAAUCGAUAUAUUAAACAUUCAAAUAUUUGAUCAACAUACUAGAUCAAUUAUUAGUCAUGUUAGAAAUUAUGUCCUCUUUUUUAAUAUGGCUUUAUGAUACAAGAUAAUGUUAUAGAGGCAUAUGAUUGUUGUAGAGGAGCAAUUCUACAAAGUAUAUAUUGAAUGAUGUUGCUAAUUAUAGGUAAAAGAAGUUGUCAUAAAAACAAACAUAAUAUAAAGAAGUGGUUUCAAAUAAAAUUUGAUUAUUAUAAAUAAUGACGAAUAUAUAAAAGUAUAUAUAUAUAUAUAUAUGUGUGUGUGUGUGUGUGUGUGUGUUAGUAAAACAAAGAAUUGGAUGUACAUGUGGAUGGGUUCCACUCAUCUUGGAGGCCAAGUAGAUCAGUGUAGCAAGUAUACUACUCCAAGUUUGAAGGCUUAUAAAGUCUUCCAUUCUAUGUGAAAUAAAGAUAUACAGAUAGAAGCAAAAACAUAAUUACUACUCUUUCUUUCCUUUUCUUUGUUAUUUUAGUUUAAUAUUUACCUUUUUUUUAUAAUACGUUAUCAGCAAAAAGUUAUAACUACAUUUUGACCUCUUACUCCAAAGAUUUUUUUAUUUUAUUUCUUCACUAAGAAAAAAAGAUAUCAUCAUUGAGCAGUUUAUAAGUUUAUUGAUCUGGGUGAUUAAAAGUAAUAUAUUUGAUAUAAUCUCAUAUUGAUUCCAUUCUCUUAUAUUCUUCACUAAAAUUCAUUUGUUCUUGAUUUUUUUGGAUAAAUCUGUAGUUACUUCUAAUCGGCUAUUUUCUUGAGCUGAGAUGAAAUUAUUAGACUAAUUGAAUCAUUGCUAGUAAGUUCUUUAACAUGAAUACAUGAUUCUUGAAGUUGAAAAGGCCAAUAAUAUAUAAUAGGAAUUUUAAGAAUUUAAUCAAGUUGUUGUGUUGUUUCUUGUUCUUGUGAUAAUAGAGUAUGAUUCUUGAAGAUCUUGAUAUUGCAAUAUACCACCAUGAAUGAUUUAUUGUGGCUUUUAGAUAUUUAUACAAACACAUUUUGUAAGAUGAGAGUCAAGGUAAGUCAAGUUUGGAUUUGAUUUUUGCUAUGAGGUUACUUUCUUUAGAACCACAUAGAGGAUUUGAUUUUUAUCAUCGAUAUAUUUAUAUUGCCGACAAUUAAUAGAUGUCUCACAUAAGAUUCAUAUUGAAUCACAUACUUAUCAAUAAAUUGGUGAAAAUACGUCUUAAUUUACAAAAAAAAAAUGGUAUUAUUGUUCAAUUCUUAUGUCUUAUUGAGAUCUGAUUGCAUAUUCUCCAUUUUUGAAAAUCUCAUAUUAUUUUUUCCUUAUAAAGGUUAUGUUGGCCAUUGAAGGAAAGUUGCAAUUAUUAAAACAACUCCACUCCCUCAUUGUAAAGGAGUUGUACGACUGUGAAACAGACAAGGGAAAUACUAUAACUUGAAAAGAAUUUGUCUUAGUAUUAUUUUCAUUAGAAUAUGAAGAAAUCAUUUUAAGCCUCUUGUUUUGAUUUUUACAUCGAUUUUUUUUCUAUAUGAAUGACUUAUUGUAUUACAUGUGUUAUAUAAAGAUUGAAUACAUUAAUUUGUUUUACCCCAAUAAUUGUAGGCUUUGAUUUGUGUAAUUCUAACAAUUUUGUUUCAGAAGAGAAUUGAAGUACAAAGAAGCAAACUUAUUUUGUUUCAAUAAUUAAGUGAACAUAUUUUUUUUUAAAGGAUUAUGGAUGAGUCAUGCUACACCUUGGCUUAUUACCUCAUUGGUUAAGGGUAAAAUGAUGAAUUCAAGUUUCAUCGAAUCAAGAGGAUAAGAUGUUGAAUUUAAGUCCUAAUGCACCACAGUGAUGACAAAAUGAUGACUGAGCAAACUAAUGUGCUCUUGAUGAAAAUUAUGAAACACAUGGUUUUGCUCCAUUCUAAAAAAUGAAUGUGGUAACAGUACAUGAUAAAUCUAAAAGAUGACUAUUGAGAUUGUAUAAUGAAUGUGGGUGUGACAAAAGAUAAAAUAAUAAUAAUCAUCAUUGUGGUAAAAAUGAAGAACACUGUAAUUUUUCCAAAUAGUCCUUCAAAAUAUGAAGGUAAUUUUUGUCAUCAAAAUGGUAUGAAAGGUCAUUAAACAUAUUUGUUAUGAGACCUAAUAAUUGGAUAAGUUUAUAAAUCCUCCAUCAAAGAAAAGGAUGAAAAAGAGGUGAUACACUUGACUUUCAAAAGUGAUGUUGAGGUAUGUCAUAUCAUGAAUAUUAUAAAUUUCAAAGCAUGGCAAUGAACUUCUAAUGAAAGGAAUAAUUAUGAAGCAUGUAUAUAUGAUUAUGGUCAAUUCCUUGAAGAGAAUGUGGCUUGUGGUAAGUAUCAUGAAAAGUGGACCAUUCCUGAAUGUGUUGAGAGAUGAUGAAAAUUAUAAAAAAGCACAUACUCAUAUAUGAUUUAAUAAAUAUCACAACUCACCCUUAUGGGAGGUUAGAGAGAAAUAAAGAAAUUUUAUGUUGGUAUAAAUGGUCAUUGAUCAAGUACUUUUAGUACAUCACAAAUAUUGUGAUACAUUUUAUUAUGAACUAUCAAAAUGGCAAAAGAAGGAAUAAUUCUUGACCACAAAAAUUUGUCAUUGAUUAUGUAUCUCUGUACUUCAAAAAUAUUUUGCCAUGUAUUAAACAAAAGGGAGAAGAUACUAAUGACAAAAGUAAAUCAAGAAACAAGUUUUGCUUGUAAUGAUUUUGACCAUGACAAUAAUGAUAUAAAUUUAUCCUUGAAAUAGAUGUUCACCACACAAACAAUGUUAUGAAAUCUGUGGCAUAAAUGUUAUGAAAACUUUUUCCUUGGGACAUAAAAGUUUUUGGCAAAAGUUCUGACAUUAUUGGAGAUAUUUUACCCUAUGAUUGAUACAAUAAGGUUGUUUUGAUCUGGCAACAUAUGAAAAACUUGAAUGCAUAUAAUGAAUAAUUGUCAUUUCUAGCUAGAUAAUGAAGGUUAUAUAAAAAUCAUCGAAGCAUUCAAGGUGUCUGAAGCAUAGAAAGGUUUGAAAGAAACUUUUUCAAUAAAGCUUCAAGAAUCUUUACGUGGAUUGAAAUAAUCAAGGAAGAAAGGGUAUAAAAAUGACCCUAUUGUCCUUGUAUUUUUAUAAAAAGGUCAGGAUCUGAAUUUGUUAUAAUAGUUGUGUAUGUUGAUGACUUGAAUAACUUUAGCACUCUUAAAGAGAUUUCAAUACUUGUUGAGUGUUUGAAAAGAAAAUCAAAAAUGAAAAGAUCUUGGUAAGACAAAAUUUUGUCUUGACCUAUAGAUAGAGAAUUUGACAAAUGAAAUAUUUGACCAUCAAUCUGCAUACAUAGAAAAUUUUUGAUGUAAUUUUUCAUGAAUAAAUUACAUUCAUUGAGUACCCCAAUGAUUAUGAGAUUACUUGACAUAAAUAAAGAUCCAUAUCAAUAUCAAGAGAAGGAUGAAGAGUUUCUUAGUGAUGAAACUCCAUAUAUCAGUCAAUUGGGACACUAAUGAACCUUGCUUUGUAUGAUUAAAUAUUUCCAGUGAGUUUAUUGACAAGAUUCUCCCCCCCCCCCAAAUGAGAAGACAUCGAAAUGACAUCAAGAACUUAUAUGAAGUUAUCCUACAGUACAACCAAUAGCAAAUGAAAGUAUCCACGAGAUGUUGGUUGUUCUGAACAAGUUGAACGAGUAAUUUACUUGCAACAACAAGGUCACGAAUAGAUAAUUUUCAAGAAUGUAUUCGGGUAAGCUCAAAGCCUCAUCAUAUCCAUGAAACCAAAAAAUGAUAUAUCAAAAUGAGUUCAAGGAUGCAACAUCUUUGUGAAUGUGAUUUGAUCUCAAAAACACUGUCAAUAUCAACAUUUGAGAAGAUGGUAUAUAAGAUUGGAUGACAUCAUCACAAGAAAUUAAGUGAUGUUUCAAUUAGGGGGAGUAUAAUACGUGUUGCACUUUUUUUGUCUUGACCAAUAUUUUGUCCCACUGGAUUUUCCUGACAAGAUUUUUAAUGAGGCAACAAAUAAUGUGUAUUAAAAGAUAUGUGUACUCUUUUUUCUUCACUGGAAUUUUUUCUAGUAAAAUUUUAACGAGGCACAUUAUCUAUGGACAUUCAAGGGGGGUGUUAUAAAUCCAUUGAACUAAGUGGAUUGUCUAUUGAGUUUAUCCAUAAGCUUAUACUUAUCAUGUAUGUUGAACCUUAUCCAUAAGCACAUUGAAUAGAAGAAAAUUCUUAUCAUGGACAUUCAAGGGGGGUGUUAUAAAGUUUUAACGAGGCACAUUAUCCAUAAGCACAUUGGACCAGUGGCGUAGCCACAUGGUGGUAAGGGUGUCCAAUUGGACACCCUUCGUCGGGAAAAAAUAUCAUAAAUACAGGUAAAAUGAUACACGAAAUUAUUAAAUAACAUAUUUUGGACACCCUUAACAUAACAAGCUGCUAUUUCUGGACACCCUUUGUGAAAUUCCUGGCUACGCCACUGCAUUGGACCUUUGGAUUGAUUUCUCAACCUAUAAAUAGAUAUAUCAUUCACGAUUGUAAGACACACUUGAAUAGAAGAAAAUUCUUCUCCUUCAUAUACUUCUCUUGUCUUCUUCUCUUUAUACAUAUAUUGCUUUGAGCUUGAUUUAUAACAAGUUUAGAAUUAUUUUUUCAUUUUAAAAAUUAAUAAAUUAUAUAAGGAGGGUAGGAAAGGAAAAAUAGAAGAUGACAAGAUAGGAAAUCGAGGAGGAAAAAAAGUAGAACAAAAAUUAUGCAAAACAAACUUGGUAAUGAAAAAUAAAUUAAAACAAAAAGUAUGCAAAAUAAACUUGUUGAAUGAGAACAAAAUAAAUUGCGCCGUCUGUGGGGAUCGAACCCACGACCACGUGGUUAAAAGCCACGCGCUCUACCACUGAGCUAAGACGGCAUCUUGUUUAUAAUUUACACAUGAAUUAAUUAUUAAUAUCCAUACUUAAUCAAAACACGAGUAAAUAGUUUGCUAUCAUCCCUUACCAUUUGAGAGUAGAAGAGAAUGAUUCUUUCCCAAAAAAAAUUCUUAUAAUGAAGACAUAAAGUUUAAAAUAGAUUUAUAAAUAACUAUAAAUUCGAUUGAUCGGUAGACAUAGUUGUUAAGACAAACAAUUGAUAAUGAUUGAAAAUAAUGUCAAUCAAUAUAAAAUUGAUUCCAAACUAUAGUUGGUAUGAUUAUUUUCUCACACAUUGCCCUCUUUAAACAUUUUAUAUAAUGUCAAAUAAUUUUUAUCUUUUAAAGUAAAUCAAAACUUCAUUGUAAGUUAGCUAGUGUGCAAUAGUUAGUUGUCACCCUACCAUAUCGUUAUACAAGUUUAGGACCAUUAAUAUAAGCAAGUUCACACAUAUAGUCUUUUAAGUUUAUCAUAUAUAUAUCAUGCUUAUGAGAAUAAAAUUACACAUAACUUAUAAUCUAUAUAAUUUUUUGUUUAUAUAAGAAGUGUAUUAUUACUUGGUAUAAAGAUGAAAUUAGAUGAAUACCGAGAAAAAUCAUUGUCAAUCAUAUCACGAAUAAAUCUGUUAAGCCCUCAAACGUAGUUAAGGUUACUCUUACUAGUAUAAUUAUUCUUAACAGUUAACACAUGUAGUAGCUUAUAGUCUCACAUUUUUAUAAUGAAGAGAAUCUAUUGAUACUUAAGUAUUCAUUGUGCAAAUGACAAUGUACCAUUAGACUAAAUCAACAAAAAAAAAAUUUAGAAACAAGGUUCAAUCACCAAACCUCUUAUAAGAUGAGUAGUACACAUGGGUUUAAUAGGAAAGAAAACUUAUUACUAGCAUUAAGUUUCUAAAUGUAAAGCUCAAAGAAAAAUCAAUGAAGACUAGAAUUUAGCAAAACCAUUAAAAGUUUUGACGUCAUUUCUAGGCUGGAAAGAUGCAAGAAGACUGAGGAGGCGCUGGAGUGAAGUGAUUCCGAGGCUGGGAUCACAAAUGGAAAUAGCUGAUUCUAGAUCAAUAUAUAAAAAAGUAGGUUCUAGGGAAAGUGAAUUUGAAAGUUAAACAUUAAAAAUAGAAGUAUUCAACCUCAUAUUUCGAUAAAAAAGAUUUUGCCACCACCUGAACCGGCUAGAAUCACCUUCAACACAUUAAACCUCAUAGUUUUGGAUAAAGGUCUAUAUAUGAAGCACAAAAUAUUAUCACGUACAAUAAUAGAAAAUGAUGAAAAAUUACUUUAGAGAAAUCAAAUAAAGGUGGUCCUAAUAUAAAUUGUUCAAAAGUAACAUGAUAUCCUAUUUUCACACGGAAGCAUGAUGAUAUGUGAGCUGGAAUACUGAAGUGUCUCUUCUCGUACAUGAAAUAACUUAUGUAUUAAAACUAACAAAAGAAGAAAUGAAGCGCAUGCAACAUAGUAUAAGUAACAAGAUUUUGCCUCUGGUACUUCUUAACAUAAUGUAGGUAAUUGCGUUGAACAAUGAUAGUCCUAUUCAUCUUAGCAGUGUGGCAUGUACCAGCAAGGAUACAACUUGUAAUAGAAACAUUGCUAGUGAAUGGAUAUUUUUUUAUCAAGAUAUGUACCUAAAUUCAAACAUCCAGAGUCUAAGCAUGAAUAUCAAUUUGAAAAUCUUCUUUCAUAAGCAUAAUUAUAGACUGAGCUUACAACAUAAAUAUUUCAUUACCAUAGACAUAAAAUAGCAUAUCAUAAAAAGUGCAUAACUGAGGAGUUUCUUAUAAAUCGAUAUAUAUACGUCACUAGAGCUCAUGACACUCAACUUAUAAUCUAGUUGGAUGGGUUGUCCUAUACUUUACCAGGAUAUAGAAUCUUAUUAUCAUUAUCUUAUGUGGAUCCACUUACAUGAGCCUCAACGGGCUAAAAGUCAACCGUCAAAUCUAUUAAACAUAAUCCUACUUUGGCGCGUAGUUGUGGGAUUGGAAGUUUCUAGAUCUGCGUACUCUCAAUACUAAAUAUUCCUUCCAAAAUAACACACGCGCGCGCGCACACACACACAUAUAUAUAUAUAUAAUGCUCAUGGAUAUAUAAACCUCUUAUAAUUUAUAUCACAUGUGAGAUUAAGCUCAAAAAUCAUAUCUUAAAAAUAACUUGUAUUUAGGUUGGAAAUAUAUAUAUAUAUAUAUAUAUAUAUUUUUUAUUUUUUUAUUUUUUUUUUAUAUAUAGAAGAGUGAAGUGGUAGGCUGAUCAAGGGUAAAAAUGUAAUUUCAUUCUAACAAAAAUCUAUUAAGAAAGAUAGUAAAUAAUUCUAGAAACAUCUUUCUAUAUAUUAAGUGAAUUAUGAUCAAGUGUAAAAAUGUAAUUUCACGCUAACAAAUAUCUACCAAGAAUGAUAUCAAGAAAAUUAAGUAGUUCUAGAAACAUCUUUCUAUAUAUGAAGUGAAAGAUGAUCAAAGGUAAAAAUAUAACUUCACGCAAAUAAAAAUCUACCAAGAAUGAUAGCAAGAAAACUAAAUAGUUCUAGAAACAUCUUUAAUUAUUGUUAUUACUAUUAACUCAUUUUAUUAUUACUUCACCUUUUUUAUUAGUUAUUGUGAUAUUUACUCAUUACCCUAUUUUACUAUUACUUUAAUUUAAUUCUUAAUAUUUUUUCUAUUCAUUAUACUUAAUAAAAAUGCUUACUUUAAUAUAAAAAUUCAUUAUUUAAAAAUAUAAUUAAUUACUUUAACUUUUAUUUGGCUAAUACAUACUUUUAUUGAGCCCAUGUGUCAGAUAGUUCAAAUCGGGUAUGAGGCGCCCUACUUAUCAAACUCAAUUUCGGGCUAAAAACUCAUCAGACGGAGUCACAAAGACAAAGUCAAUAAAAGUAGUACUAGAUCCGACUGUACCUCAAUCUCAGAACCAAGUCGAGAAGCCAUACUAAAAUUCUUCUAUAUUUAAAUAAAGCUUAGAUCCGUUCAUGGUCUAUAUAAAAGAGAAGUUAGUUAUCCGGCAUAGAUAUAAAUUUUUAGCCGGACAUAGUCACAGCUUCCAGAUCGGAGAUAUAAAAAGAUUUACAAAUAAAAGAAGAAAAUUAAAUUACCUUGUAUCAAUAACUUUAUUUACUUCCGGCGAACUUCCGGCAAACCAAGAGCUUUACAAACUAAGAGAAACAAACAACUAAAAAAAAUCUUUUUCNNNNNNNNNNNNNNNNNNNNNNNNNNNNNNNNNNNNNNNNNNNNNNNNNNNNNNNNNNNNNNNNNNNNNNNNNNNNNNNNNNNNNNNNNNNNNNNNNNNNNNNNNNNNNNNNNNNNNNNNNNNNNNNNNNNNNNNNNNNNNNNNNNNNNNNNNNNNNNNNNNNNNNNNNNNNNNNNNNNNNNNNNNNNNNNNNNNNNNNNNNNNNNNNNNNNNNNNNNNNNNNNNNNNNNNNNNNNNNNNNNNNNNNNNNNNNNNNNNNNNNNNNNNNNNNNNNNNNNNNNNNNNNNNNNNNNNNNNNNNNNNNNNNNNNNNNNNNNNNNNNNNNNNNNNNNNNNNNNNNNNNNNNNCAUAUCUUCUGUCACGGGUUUCGCCGAUUCACAAGGCUGGGCCUCUUGAGCAUCAUCUGCGAUAUCAUCACUUGUUUCACUUCUCAUUGAAGUGUCUGAUUUUUCAUAGUGAGUGAUAUUGAGGAGUAGAUUCCUCCUAAUUUCAUCCAAAUACUCCUUUAUCAUUUCUUCUUUAUUUCCAUCUUGAAUGGAAAUUCUUCUGGCAAUAUGUUUGACGGAGUUGUCAGCAAUUAUUCCUUUGUGAGGAAUAGUACCAUAAUCUUGGAUUCUUUGAGAAAUAGAGUCCAAUAAUUCUUGGCCAUAUAAUGAUUUGAUCAUGGGAUCCUUUNNNNNNNNNNNNNNNNNNNNNNNNNNNNNNNNNNNNNNNNNNNNNNNNNNNNNNNNNNNNNNNNNNNNNNNNNNNNNNNNNNNNNNNNNNNNNNNNNNNNNNNNNNNNNNNNNNNNNNNNNNNNNNNNNNNNNNNNNNNNNNNNNNNNNNNNNNNNNNNNNNNNNNNNNNNNNNNNNNNNNNNNNNNNNNNNNNNNNNNNNNNNNNNNNNNNNNNNNNNNNNNNNNNNNNNNNNNNNNNNNNNNNNNNNNNNNNNNNNNNNNNNNNNNNNNNNNNNNNNNNNNNNNNNNNNNNNNNNNNNNNNNNNNNNNNNNNNNNNNNNNNNNNNNNNNNNNNNNNNNNNNNNNNNNNNNNNNNNNNNNNNNNNNNNNNNNNNNNNNNNNNNNNNNNNNNNNNNNNNNNNNNNNNNNNNNNNNNNNNNNNNNNNNNNNNNNNNNNNNNNNNNNNNNNNNNNNNNNNNNNNNNNNNNNNNNNNNNNNNNNNNNNNNNNNNNNNNNNNNNNNNNNNNNNNGGUUUUGUAUGACUCUCCUGGGAAGUAUAAUCCGUUAAGUAAAUAUUGCUGGAAUAUCUUCCAAGGUUCUUCUUUUCUCUGUAUCUCGGAGUUUUCAAUAAGAAAUAUCAUUUCUUUCUUUACUACCCUUUCAUAGGAUCUAAUAUCAUCAACCUCUUCUUUCGCCACCGAUGCAAAAGUAUCACUUUGCUUUUGAGAUAAAUAUGCUCGCAGUUGGGAGUAUAAUGGAUUAUUUUCUGGAAUAUCAUCCAGAUGUAUCGAAGAAGUAGCUUCUUUUGAAGAGCUUGUAGUUUUACCAAGCUCAUUCUCCCCUUUUGUAUAAUUGGAGAGCUGGAUGAGGAAUCCGUAUGACGAUCCUGAUGUUUUUGAGGAGGAUGAUCUUCCCCUUCCGCGAGUAUAACUGCCCUUUCCUCUAGCCUUGGUUACCUAAGGAGGAUCCAUCUUGCAUACAUAGCAUUUAGUUUUAAUCAUCUAAAAGGUCAUAAACUUCAGAACAAUAAAAUCUUUCAUAAAGUUCUUGUUCAAUCAUGUAAUUAGCGACGAUAUCCAUCACCAUUACGUCUAUAAUUCUCCAUAACAUAAGUUCCUGUAAAUCUCUAUUAAGAGGAACUGCCUUCAAAAUUGUAACCAAAGUAAUAUCAGUAAAGAAGUCAAGAAAACCCAUUUUUUUAAGAAGAAAGAUAUUCUCUAGAUAAGAAGUCUGGGAGGGAAUUAUCACUUCCCUUUUUAUAAUGAAUUUCGAAAUCAAAAGGGGCUAAUUGUACCUGCCACCUAGCAAAUAUUAAUUUUGAUGCAUCAUGUUUAAAAUCUUUAUCAAACAUAUAUUUGACUGAUUGAGCAUCUGUUUUUAUCACAAAUUUUUGAUUGUAAAGGUCAUCCUGAAAAUUUAAAACACAUUUAACGAUAGUUAACAUUUCAUGAGCUACCGUUGCAUAUUUUUUCUUGAGCAUCGCUCCAUUUUCCUGAAUGAAACCGAAUAAGGUAUUCAUUUUUUAUCAUGCGGGUUAAUCUGUUUUAAUAUUCCACCAUAACCCAAAUUGGACGCAUCUGUCUCAACGAUCUUUGGCCAAGCAGGAUUAGCAAGGGUUAAACAAGGCAAAGAUUUAACUCUUUCUUUAAUAGUCCUUACAAGAUCUGUGAGACUAUUAGUCCAAGACUUCUUAUGAUCUUUUUUUAGCAUGUCGUAUAAUGGAGCUAAAUCUCGAGACAAAUUUUUGUAGAAGGGGGAAAUGUAAUUUAAACUUCCCAGAAACCGUUGCAAUUGUGUCCUAUCUGUAAUAAUAUCAGGGAAUUUUGAUGCGAAUUCAAUAGAUCGCUGAAUGGGAGUCAUUUUUCCUUGACAAAUCAAAUGACCCAAAAAUCUAAUUUCUAUUUGAAAAAGAUUCAUUUUAGGUUUAGAUAUGACCAAACCAUUUUGAAAAACUAUUUUCUUAAAAAUGUCUAGAUGCUUAAUAUGCAUUUCAAGAGUCUUUGAGUAUAUCAAAAUAUCAUCAAUAUAAACUAUGAUGAAAUCCAAAUAAGGAUUAAAAAUAUCAUUCAUAAUCUUUUGAAAUUCCGAGGGAGCAUUUUUUAAACCAAAGGGCAUUAUAUUCUAUUCGUAUUGUCCAAACGGAACAUUAAAUGUCGUUCUAUAAGAAUGGUCUUUAAAUAUUUGGAUUUGCCAAUAUCCAGAUUUUAAAUCAAAUUUUGAAAAGAUAUUAGCAUCAUAUAAUCUUGAUAAUAAAUCCCUUUUGUUUGGAAUAGGAUACCUAAUCCAUUUUAAAAAUUUAUUUAAAGGUUUAUAAUUUAUAACUAACCUGGGAACACCUCGUUCUACUUCUGCUGCGUUAUUAACAUAAAAAGCAGUACACGACCAAGGUGAUUUGGAAGGCUUGAUCAAACCUUUUUGUAAUAAAUUAUCAAUUUCCUUUUUGCAGAAUUCAACCAAUUCGGUAUUCAUCUGACAAGGACGUGAUUUGGUAGGGAUAUUUUCCUCAGAGAAAUCAUCUUCAUAUGGAAGAGUUACAAUAUGCUUUUUUCGAUUCCAAAAGGCACUAGGAUGAUCAGCACAAAUAUCAAUGGCCAUUUUUUCANNNNNNNNNNNNNNNNNNNNNNNNNNNNNNNNNNNNNNNNNNNNNNNNNNNNNNNNNNNNNNNNNNNNNNNNNNNNNNNNNUAUAACUGAUUUUUUACCAAGAAAAAGAAGUGAGGAAUACAAACUUUAUUCUGGCAAAUACGAGUAUUAAUUAAUUUAUACUUUAUAUCUAAAGCAUGACCAGAUGCAGAUUUAACCAUAUGAGUUGUUUUCUCAAAAUAUUUAGUAGGUACUAGACCUUCUUGAAUGCAACUCACAUCAGCGCCACUAUCAAUCAUAGCAAUGUUAGUUAUAGAAAAAGUAUUAUCAAUUAAUAUAGUACAUUUAACAUACCAUUUAUGAGCUGUAACAAUUUGUAUCAUUCCUAAAAACAUAUUUUGUUUCGGAUCAAUAUUCAAAGUGUUGGCAAGACUAUUGUCUUCAGCAGGAGAAUCAUCAACCUUAUUUUUUCCUUUGCUAUUAGCAGACUCAAUCUGAGUAAUACGAUGAUCACAAAUAAUAUGAUUUUGUUUAAGAUAUUUAAUUUCUUCCUUCAAAUGUUCAAUUUCUCCUUUUAAAUCAUCAAAAGAGGUAUCGCGAAUAAUCAUGGUUUGUUUAGAAGAGAGUCUAUUACGAACUUCAGAUAAGGAGUAAGGAGCAAAAUAAUUAAACUCAUCUUUAACCUUUUUAUCAUUAGGAAUAUUAGAUGAAGAGCUAGUUUUACCAGCAGCCAAUUGAAUGAUCUUUUCACGAAGAGUAUUAUCGGUAACUUCUUUUAGAAGUUCUAUCAUAUUGUCUGCAGUGAUAGUGAACAUAUUCAUGUCUUCGAACUGAGAUUGUAGCCUGUAGAAUUCAUCAUGUUCGCAGUGACAACUAUCACCAUGACAUUUGCAAGCAUCAUUCAAAUCUUGUUGAACCUUACUAGAUGACUCGGGUUGCUCAUCCUCUGUUGCAUAACUUGCUUCAGAAUCAUCAUAAUCUGAUUCGGAAUCAGAAGUAUAUAGAAAACUAUAAAUCUUCUCUUGAAUAUCAUCAUCAAGUUCUAGAGUCUUAAGCUUUUCUAGCUUACAAUUUGGAGCUAUAUGCCCAAAUUUUCCACAUUUAUAACACUUAAUCUUAUCAAGAUUUCGCCUUGACUUAUUCCUAGUAAAUCUAUGAGAUUUACGAUGAGCCCUACGCUCAUCUCUUUCUUCUCUAGUCCUUCUUCUAGAUCUUCUUUUCUUAUGAUGAGAUCUAUGAGAUUCUAAUUUAGAAGUUUCUUGGUUGGUGCUUUUUGAAGCAUCCGGUAAACCGAAUUGAGUACAAAAUCUCCUAAUUGAGACUUUUCUCUAAGCUUAUCCAUUUUAAGCUGUCUUGAGAGUUUUAACUCAUUGCACAAAUUUAUGCCUUCUUGCGUACAAGCCCCAAAAAGCUUUCCAUAAGUAAAAUCAUUAUAGGGAAUAAUUCCUUGUGGAUUUCUAAGAGUCUUCUUUACUCUGUCUCCAAAUAAAGAAGGUAAGCCAUCAAUAAAUUUGGCUUUCCAGAAUUCUAAAGCAUUUUCGGGAAGUUCCAUUACCCGACUUAUAAGUGUCUUUAUACCAUCUAAACUCACCUAAAUGUCUACAUCUAAUACCAUUUAGUAGAGAUCUAAUGGUUUCAUAUUGAUUGGUAAAUCUACCACUAAAAUGUUCAAGAAUAGUAAUAUGAUAAAGUGUGAUAAAUUGAUAAUAUAUAUUAGAUUGAAAUUAAAGAAUAAAUAAAAUUAGUUUCAAUAUUAAAAAAAUGUGUUUUAAAAGAUGUUAAAAAAUAACUUUACAAAUAAAAUGAAUAGGAUGGUAUAUUUGCAUUUAAAGUAAACUAAAAAUGCAUACUAGAUUAUAAAAGAGUAGUUCUUAAUUAAAAUAUAUAAUUAAAUUUUUAUUUGAUUUCAAAGUUCAAACAUAUUAAUCUGAAUAGUGAACUGAUGUAAGUUUGAUUUAAAUUUAAAGUUGUCGGGCUAAAAUUUGGUAUUUUUCUAUUAUAUAGAAAUAUAAAGUUGACGACGAUCAAGGAUAAUAUGGUCAUUUCAUAUAUAUUUCAUUUUAAAAUUCUAUAAAUUCUAUUUUUAAAUUUGUCAAAAUAUUUUUUCAAGUGGCUAAAUUUCCUCCAUAAGUUACAUGAUUAUUCUAGAAAUUAUAAAUUAUAAAAAUUUUUUCUAGAACUAAGUCUAUGACACAAAUAAAUAGAUACUAACUCAUUCCUCAUUUCAUUCACUCCUCAAUUCUCUCCACUCUCAUGUCUUAUACCAAUAAAUUUCUCACUCUUUAUUUCUAAUUUGCAUCCUAAAAAUUACACACUUCAGUAUAGAUCUCUUAUUAGGAAGACCAAUAACGGAAUUUUUCUAACAUUAAGAACUUCAUUUUUCAUCUAUUCCCUACAUAAUGGCCCUACUUUUGUAAAACAAUUAUAAGACAAAAGUAAAAUUCACUAUUUCUUAGUGAACACAUCACUUAUGGAACUUGUCCAUAUAGCAAAUUUUCAACAAAAUUCAAUUGAUCCACAUUUUUCAAACAUUCUACUGAAUAUGAUAAUGAACUAGCUAACAUGUUAAAUCCAAUAUCAAUCACAAUUGCAAUUCUCAAAAGGCGUAAUUCAUAAGGAAUGCAAUAUGUGAGCAAGCUCUUCAAGAACAACAUUUUUAAAAAUUUCGGAGCAUGUUAUGCCCUUUUCUUUGGUUCUCUUUAGACUUUUCAAUUUCAUGAUGUUGCUUUUCUUUCGAGAUAGUAAAGAUACUUUUUGAAGUAUCUAAUUUACUUGAUUUCUCUUUUUAUGUAUUAUCCCAAAAUUUCACGUACCAUGUAUGCCAUUAUAUAAUUUAUUGAGAAACAUAUAUUUAUUUAUUACUAUUAUUUUAUCUUAAAUCAUUUUAAGCAAGUUAUAUAAAUUAUUAUUUUAACUACCUUAUGUUAAAUUACUGCAAUAUAUAUUAUAUUAUCUUUUGUUAAUAUUUUUAAAAUCUCAUUAUUUGAGGUAAAACAUUCAUUCAUCGGGUAUAUACAUUACUUUAGAAAAAAAAUAUUUUGUUACUGUACUAGAUUGUUCUCCUAAUUUUAAUGAAUAUAAAAACAAGAUAUAAAGUCAUAACUUAUUUUUAUCAUUUUAUCACUUUGUAAAUAAUGAGAUGAUUCAUUCUAAUUUUUAUAAGUAGAUCAUUAUUUUUGUUUGUUAAACACCUUUAAAACAAAUUUAUAAAGUGUAAUUCAAAAUUAAUCUGUAGAUGGAUCAGUAGACUUUAUUGCUUCAUAUAUUUUAUGAAAAAUUUAUAGAUGGAGAAUAAUUUUAACCUGUUCUCUUGAAUAAUUUGCAAAUUAAAUAGAAAAAGAAUAUCAUUAAAUUAAUUAUUUAAUUCGAAUAUAUAUGUUUGACAUGAUGUUAUUAUAAUCACUGGAGCAUAUGGUAUUUUAUUAUUAUUUUUUAUCAUGUUUAUUUGAAAAUGUCAUAAUAAAAAAAAUUAAAACUAAUUAAAUAUCUAUUAUAAAUAUAUAUAAUAUUGUACUAUUGGGCCCGUAAACGGGCCUUUCAUUAUAUUGGGCCCCUAUAACUUAAAAUUAUACUAUAUAUAUAUAUAUUCAUAUAAUGCUCAUGGAUAUAUAAGCCUCUUAUCAUUUAUAUCACAUGUGAGAUUAAGCUCAAAAGUCAUAUCUUAAAAAUAACUUGUAUUUAGGUUGUAAAUGAUAACAUGACUGUUUUUAUCUUUAAACAUCAUAAAUGCAUAAGAGACCAUAGAAAUCAUGCCAAACCAAUGAAAUAAGGUUUUUAAAACCAAAAUAACACAUUGAAAAUAGAAAUUUAUAGAGUAAGAUCAUAAUUUCAUAAAAAAAAGUCCUAACUUGUUUCUAACAAUUUUAAAAUUCUGGAAAGAGAAGUGUUUUAGGCAUGAGAGUGAAAGGAAUAGUACUUCAUUGAAACCUUACAUACAUAGGAGAAGAAAACUUAUGAGGAACAAUUUACUAUGGUGCCUUUAGACCCCUAACUUUUGCCUUACUUAUGAUAGUUUAAGAAUUUCGGAAGCUGCAAGCAUGAAGACUUUUUUUAACAUGAAAACCCCUAGUUUGAAAGACAAAAUGUUGUGUCUUAGUCUUAGGAAUUGUAACAUCUCGGAAAUCAUAAACCGAUUUUGGGUAGAAAAGAUCAGAAAAAGUUGCAGAAAUUCAGUUCUAUGAAUCGACCGACGAGUCGUAGUUAUUUCUACGAAGCGUAGGAUGCCUCUCAUAGACACUAGAUAUGAAUUUUGGAGAAAUGUCAAGUCUCUGAUGAUAACCUACGAUUUGACAGGAUGCGAUGUCGAAUAGGCUAUGAAUCGUAGGUGGUAUAUGUAGGUGUAACGACCCAUUUGGUUGUUUUGAGUACUAAAGAUUUGUAUUUCGUAAAAGACUCUUCCGAUAGACUUUAAAUGGGUAUUUGGACUGUUCAAAAUUACAAUUAUGAAAUUAGUGGGGUAGUUUUUACAAUUAAAUUAGUUGGUGGUUAUAGAAGAUAGCAUUUAAACAAAUAGUGGGUCACUUUUAUCACUUUUUAUAAUUGGUUAUAUGAUAAUUAGGUUGAUAACUGAUCUGUAGAAAAGGGAGAAAAUUAAAAUAGAGAGGAGCCGCACGAUUGUGAGAGAAACCAGUUCUAGAAACGGCUUCAGGUGAUUUUUCUUACCUUAAUCUCUCCUAGUUAUAUUAAUGAUAUGCAUAUGCUUUAUUGAUUAGAGAACGGUAGAUGCUAUUGAAAUUUAUUGUGUAUGUGGCUUCUCCCGUAUUGCAAUUCAACUAGGUUCCAUAGAAAAUAUUGUCGGCAAAUUAUAUAUAUAUUAUACUGAGUAAAGGCUAAUGAAUUGAGUUUGGCUGUUGUGGCGGUAUAAUUAAUUUUGGUUGAGUAGCAGUGAGUGAGGCCCAUGGUUUAAGCAUAUGAUAAUAUAGGUUCUAGUUGAUUGGUUUUGUUAGUGGGAUGCAAAAUACUUAAUUUGAUUCACUGCAUUCAUGAAUUAAAGUGCUGAUUCUUAUUUAUUUAUUAUUAUUAAUAUAUAUUAUAAAGUGAAGUGGGCAUAUGUAUAGUAUUGUUGUUAGAUGAUGGCUGAGAGGAAAGUUAGGCCAACCAUUAAUGAUGUAAAGAAUUAGAAUGUUAAAGUAUAGGCGUUCAGGUAGAAGUGUUCACUGCCACUGGUUUCGUAACCAGUGGCUUGAACUUUUAAACAUUAAAAUUCUUUUACCUUGUUAAAAAUUAUAAUUUGAUACAUUGAAAUAUGUAAUUAACUAUUAGGUUGAAUUUGAGGUAUUAAUAGUAGGGGUGAUAAUUAUGGUUAUAUAAUUAAGGUUGGACAAGAAGAUAAGAUGGAUAGUGGUGUUGGGUUGGAGACAAAUUUGUCUCCCAUUAAUGACUUAAUUUCCAGUGAGGUUAUGUCAAAUAGGUGAGGAAAAUUAACCUAGAAAAUGGUAAGAUGGGUCACACAUCGUUUCUAAAUAGAGAUUGAAUUGACAUGGCUAUUCCUCUCUAUACUCACGUGAGCACUAAUGGAAAAUAAGCUAAGGUUAUGUUGUCUUGGGUUGAAGCUGGACCGAUGGAACUGGAGGAAAAUAAUUGAAUUUCCUUUUAAGUUUAGGAUGCUAGUUCUUAAAUCUAGGCUAGACUUAUAGUAAUAUGGGAUUUAUAGACUCAUUUACUUAUGAAGUAUUUAUACUUGAUAGAUCGAAAAUCAUCUUAGGCAUUGAAGAAGGGAAAAACAUUGGAGAAGUAACUUGUCUGACUUCAGUUCUUCGGUGGAGGUAGGUUAUGGUUUAUUCUAUUUGAUGGAUAGACUCUUAAUAGUGAUUGAUAUGCAUUGAAUGAUAUUGUGAAGUUCUCUAUGUACUUGAUUGUGUGAUUGUGUAGCUUGGUUGUGUGGUUUGUGAUUGGUCUGAAAUCUUGAGACCAUGGAAUUUAUAAUCUUGAACCCUCUCUAUCGAAGUAAUGCCUUGAAUAAAGAAGGCUUGAUGAAAUAUUAAUGAAUUGAAAAGUGGUGAUAAUAGAUGAUAAAUUAAUGAUAAUAUUGGAUCGGAGUGUCACGUUCCAACACGGUAUAAUUGGAUCGGAGUGUCACGUUCCAACACGGUAUAAUUGAAAUUAAUAAUAUUAUUGGAUCGGAGUGUCACGUUCCGACACGGUAUAAUUGGAUCAGAGUAUCACGUUCUAACACGGUAUAAUUGGAUCGGAGUGUCACGUUCCAACACGGUAUAAUUGGAUCGGAGUGUCACGUUCCAACACGGUAUAAUUGGAUCGGAGUGUCACGUUCCAACACGGUAUCACGUUACCAUUAAAGGAAAAAGAUAUUGAAUUAACUUAAUGUACUCAAUUCCCAAAUUAGUUUGGUUUGGAGGCAUGAGUCCUCUUGAUAUUACUGACUGAUUACGUACUUACUUUAUUGUUGUUGAUACUGGUUCAUGUGUUUGUUUCUUGCCACCUGCAAAGUGUCAUAGUUGACUUUAUACUAUUAUUCAUUACAUAUUAGUUUCUAUUUUGGAUUGACCGAUGAUAUCUACUCAGUACAUGUUGCCCUGUACUGAGCCCUACUUGUGUUUUCUUUGGGUUUUUUUUUGUAGAGUGCAGCGAGUGUAUCAGUGACUUCGACUCGCCCUCAGCUCUAGCCAGUCUCCAGCACAUCAAGUUCCAGGGUGAGCUAUUCAUUCCAGCUCGUAUUGGAUUAUUUUGGUCAUGGCAUGAUGUCCUUAGCUUUCAGACAAACUAUUUUAUUCAUUUAUUUUUAUGUCUUUAAUACUCGUAGACUUAGUAUUUGAAGGUUAGAUGUCCUUGAUGUGAUGACUUUCAGAUUUUGGGGAUAAUAAGUGUUAGACUUUAGAGGUUUAUUUGAUUGGUUACUUUAAUAAGUUUUGAGCUUCCGCAUUAUUGUUGUUAUUCGUAGUUGAAUUAUUGAUAUAUGUUGGGGUUUGAAUUCGUUGGUUCGCCCACUUAGGAUGUUAAGUGUGGGUGUCACUCACAACUCAUUUUGGGUCUUGACAGUAGGAUGGUUCCAUGCUUAGAGAUUUUGGAGGACAAAUGGUCUAUGAUACGAUUCAUAGUCUUGGUUACGAGUCGUACAAGGGUCUCGUUAAAUGAUGAUUGGACUUAGGUGAUUUUGACAAUUUAAGGUUUACGGGUGAGGCCUACAAACCAUAGACCAGACGACAGGCCGUAGAAAGGUCUCAUAGAAUUUGUAUAGAUUUUUGGGUUUCUAAAAUUGGUUCUACGGUUGAUCAGUACAGGCCAUAGAAAGUCCUACGGCACGUAGGUCUGUUCGAUAAUUAUUUCUUAAAGGUGUUUGGGUCUUUUCCUAUGCAAUUAAUACCUAUACUAUGUCAUUUUGACCCUAAUUCUAAGUCCUAUAACUACCUUUCAAUUUCUAAAACUACCCAAACCCUCUCAUUCUCUCAAAUUCCCAAAAUCCAUCUAAGUUCAUCCCCUUUAGUUCUCUCUCAAACUCAGGGAAGAAAGGUAGGGUUUCAAGAUUCAAGUUCUUCAAUCUCCAUUGCUUUUAAGAGAUUUGAUUAUCAAGGUUUGUGAGAAUUCACCAAUGGAUUUCAUUCAUCCAUUGGGUCCCAAAAGAUCUUCAAUCUCCAAUUCAAUUAGGAUUUAUGUCAAUCUUCAUGGGUCAUUUUUUAUUAUGAUUCAAUUGAUUAUUUUCAAUCUUAUUAUGCAUGAUUUUAUUCAAAUACAUAAUUUCAAUUGAUUUCAUAUGAAAGCAUGCAUUAUACUUGAUUAUGAUGAUGAAUUUAUAAAGAAAACUUAUGAACUUACGAAUAUGAUUUAUGAAAGCUAAGCAUGUUUUAUGAAACGAAUGUUUUAUGAAUUAAAGAUGCUUUCGAGUAUUAAUGAAUUGUGAAAGAUUUUCUCACAUAUUAUGAAAUCAUGCUUGUGAAAUGUAUUCUCACAUAUAUAUGAAUCAUGAUUUAAAGGAGCUAAUCUAUGAUGAUUUAUGAUUGAAUUGGUGGUUUAAUUGUGCAAUUCCUAGUAUGAUGGUAUGAAUAUGUUUUUGACUAAUUUCAUUAGGAUUUUACUUAGCACCGAGAGGAUUUUGGGAUGGAGGUCUUCCUGUUUGUAGGGACAUAGUCUCUAGUAGCAAUCUCAUUGUCCCUGAUUAUGUGCUCUCGUAGGAUUGUCUUAAGUGAUCAAGCUAGCGGAUCCACCUAAGUUAAAAGUUUAUGGUCCUUACCUUGGCAAGUAGGACAUCUUUAUUUGGUGUGGGAGUAAGACAACGAAUUCCAUGUUAUGUCUCACAUGGUCUAUGUCGAUUAAUGGUAAAUAUCCCACAAAAAGAAUUAAGUUGCUUUCAAAGGUUCUUAUGAAAUCUUUCAUUAUGUUUUAAAUAUGCAUUGACCUUGUUCAUGAUUUCUGAUUUCUCUUUAAAGGUGUUUUACUAUAUUUUAGCUUCGUCAUGCAUAUCAUGUUAUAGUCCUCAUAUGAUCAUGUUUAUGUUUUUAUGUAUUUCCUCAUACUUAAUACAUUCCAUGUACUAAUGCAUACUUGUUCCUAUAUUAUUUUAAAAUAUAGGGUUCAACGCUUCUUUUCCUCCCGCUUGUGGAUAGCUUGGAUCGCUCUGUUACUAUUGGAUUGGUGAGUUCUCAUACUUAGAAGACCAUGAAGACUUCUAUUGAUUUAAUUGUUUACUUUGAGACUUUGUAUGUGGUGUAUGGGUGACGUCCCAACCACUCUUAUGUUGGUUUAGAUUUGCUUGUCAAGACAAAGUUUAGUAUUCUUUACUUAUGUUUAGACUUCUUAUAUGAUAUGAGACUUUUAUUGUCUACUCUCUCUUAUGCUAUAUUCUAUUGUGUUGUAUACAUGUCAAGUGGUUUGUGUAGUGCCUCUUGGGAUCAUAUAUGUCAUGUCACGUCUAGCGUAUACUUUGGAUCAUGCCAAACUUGAUAUUCACAGCACAAAGUUUUAGAAAAGAUCCUAAGAUGUCUAAAAAGCCACGUUGAGUACAAUCUUGUUCAUAAAUGUGAAGCUCACGAACUUAUAUUGUACACCACAUUUAAGAAUAGGUGGAUACAAAACAUUUAGGAAACUUCACUUCUUUCACUACUCUAAAUUCGUGUCAUAUAGUUCAUCUCUGUUAAGGUCUCUCUCCAAACUAUUAUCCUAUGUUUUUCAGGAUAUGGCUCUUCAAAGAGCUUAUAUGACAAGGAACGGAGCUCAAGGUUCCUCAAGCCCCAAUUGAUCCUUUGGUUAAGCAAGUGACUCAUGCUAAAUUUUGAGCCGAUUUUCAAGUCUUGACUCAAGCUUUGACAACCCAAGCUAAUAGAGAAGUCGUUGCUCCUGUGAACCCAAAUAGGAGUACGACGACGACAAGGGUAAGGGACUUCACUAUAAUAACACCCCGGAGUUUCAUGGGUCAAAAGUUGAUGAGGAUCCUCAAGAAUAAAGAGUAAGAUAGUACAAGCGCGCAGUAUAAUGUCACAUAUAAUUUAAGCAUGCACCAUGAUACUUCUUUCUUUUGUGAAAUUUCUUAAUUUUAUCACUAAUAUUUGACUUGCAGGAAAAUUUUAAAAAAAUAGAUAAUUUUUCAUACCAAUUUCAUAUAGUAUUAGUUGCAGUGAAAAAAUUUUCAUCAUCAACAACAAUAAUAUAUCUAAUAUAGUCCUGGAAAGUAAAUUUUGAUAUCAAAAUCAAUUAACUCAUAAUAUAAAGACUUUAUCUCAAAACGAUCGGACAAUGCAAAGAUAGAUGCUCAUCAUCUUCAUUUGAUUCUCCACACAUAAAAUAUCAACUAACAUAAAUGAUGUUAAGUCUUUUUCAGACUAUUUACGUAAUACCUAAAUUUACUAAGGUAUGUAUGCGCUUGUCCUUCUAAGUCGGUCUGCAUAUUUGAAAGAUAUGUUGAAACUAUGGUUUUAUUCAUGUUACUUGAUCCAUGUAAGAUUUUACUUUGAAAUAUUCUUGAUCUAAUGAAAAAUUAUAAGUAUUGCAAAUCCUAAGGAUCUAAUGAAGUAAUAAGUAUCUUCGCAUCUCUUAGAUAUAAAUAGAAAUUGGCUACAACUGCGAGUACAAAGUUAGUUAUUUUGAAAUUAUUUUUUUCAUUUUAAAAUAAAUUAUAUAAUAGGGAAGGGAAAAUAGAAGACGACAAGAUGGGUAAGCGAGGCGAAAAAAAAGUAGAACAAAAAUUAUGCAAAACAAACUUGGUGAAUGAAAAAGAUAUUAAAACAAAAAUUAUGCAAAAUUAAACUUGUUUGAAUGAAAAACAAACAAAUAGCGCCGUCUGUGGGGAUCGAACCCACGACCACGUGGUUAAAAGCCACGCGCUCUACCACUGAGCUAAGACGGCUUUUUAUUUAUGUUUUACACAUAAAGGUUUUAUUAACAUCCAAACUUAAUCAAAACACAAGUAAAUAGUUUAGUAUCACCCGUUACCAUUUGAGAGUAGAAGAGAAUGAUUUCUCCCAACAUUUCUUAUUUGUUACUAUUCAUAUUUCUUACAUGUAAAAAAGUUCUUAUAAUAAAGACACAAAAUUUAAAAUAGAUUUAUAAAUAACUAUAACUUCUAUUGACCUGUAGAUGUGAUUGUUAAGACAAACACUUGAUUAAUGAUUGAAAGUAAUAUCAAUCAAUUUAUCGAAACAGAUUCCAAACUAUAGUUGAUAUAAUUAUUUUCUCACACGUGUUGCCCUCUUUAAUCACAUUUCAUAUAACCAAAUAACUUUUAUCAUUUAAAGUAAAUCAAAACUUCAUUGUAAAUUAGCUAGUGUACAAUAGUUAGUUACUAUCCUAAUUCCUACCAUAUUGUUAUUUAGGUUUAGGAUCAUUAAUAUAAGCAAAUUCACACAAAUAGUUUUUUAAGCUUUUCAUAGAUCUCAUACGUGUAAGAAUAAGAUUAUAGAGAAUUUGUAAUAGAUAUAAAUUUUUACCAUUACAUAUGCAAACAUUAUAUAUUUUAUUUAUAUAAGGAGUGGAUUAUUAAUUGGUAUAAAGAUGAAAUUAGAUGAUACCGAAGAAAAAUAUUGUCAAUCAUAUAACGAGUAAGUACUAACCUUCUUAAUAGUUAACACAAGUGUAGUAGCUUAUGUUCUCACAUUUUCAAAACAAAGAGAAUUUGAUGAUACUUAAGUAUUUAUUGAGGCAAAUGGCAAUGUAUCAUUAGACUAAAUCACCAAUUUUUUUAAAAAAAGGUUCAAUCGCCAAACCUCUUAUAAGAUGAGUAAUACAUAGGGGUUUAAUGGGAAAGAAAAUUUGUUGCUAGCAUUAAGUUUUAAAAUUCGGAGCUCAAAGGAAUAUCAAUGAAGACUAGAAUUCAACAAAAACAAUAAAAGUCUUGACAUCAUUCCUAGAUGAUGAUAUUAAAGUAGAAGCACUCAAGCCCAUAUUUCAGUAAAAAAAAAAAAAAUCCGCCAUCACCAAAAUCGACUGAAAUCACCUUCAAGACAUUAAACCUCAUAAUUUUGAAUAAAUUUAUGUAAAGUACAAAAUAUUAUCACAUACAAUAGCAACAAAUGAUGAAAAGAUAAAUCAAAAUAAGGUCCGAACAUGCACUAUCCAAUAAUAACAUGAUCUCCUCCUUUCACACGAGACUCGAGAGCAUGGUGAUAUGUAAGAUAAAAUAUUGGAGUGUCUCUUUUCGUAUCUGAAAUAACUUAGAUGUUAAAACUAACCAAAAAAAAAUAAAGCGCAUGUAACAUAGUAUAAGUGACAAGCUCUUUCCUCUAGUACUUCUUGACAUAAUGUAGGUAAUUGAGACAUGUACUAGCAAGGAUUCGACCUCGGAUUAAAACAUUGUCAGUGAAUGGACAUUUCUUGUCAAUGUAUGUACCUAAAUUCAAAGAUUAGUUAGAUCAUAGAACAAAAGUGAAAUUAAGCAAUCAGAACAAUUUUACAAUGCAAGAAAAUUGCUUGAAAUGUCAUUGUCUAUAUGUGAGCCUAAACUACUAUACUAAUUUUAUGUAACUUGUUGUUACAAGGCUCUAAAAAGCACAUAAAUCUAAAAGUUAUUUAGUAAGCUUCUACAAUUUCAACUAAAUAACAAGUGAAAGAAUGAAAAACAAUCUUUCUACCUCGCGAGGUAGGAUUAAGGUAUGGAAAGUCUUAAACAAAGAGAAAUGCAUAACUUUUCUUCACAUGUCAUCUUAAUAACUCGAAUCCCUGGCUAAUAAGAAGUUUUACAACAAGUAUAUUUUAAUGUUCUAUAACUACAAAUUAUUAACGGAAUCAGCUAAGUGAGAUUUAGUACAUCAAUCCUUAAUUUCUUAUUAGUUUGCAUUUUCUAUAUGAAUCCUCUACACCGAGAGAAAAUAGCCUACUUCACAACACUCGAGAUUGAUAAAUAAUCUUACAGAAUUUCUAUUCUGAAUAUAUUUUCUUUUGAAGCUAUAGUACAAAUGCAUUGUAUGUGUCUGUCUUACUAAUAAUAUUCCUUAGCGCUACACUAUAAACCUUCCCUCUGCACGUGCACCCGGUAACUUCCGAAAAAAUUAUAUGUAUAUAUGUAUAUCUAUUCUAAAAAACUGGUAGAAAUUAGGAUAUACUUAACAGUGCAUCCAUGAUAAACAUAGAAGUGUCCUUGUGCUACUGGUACAAGCUAGAUAUACCACCCUUGAGACCAGGGUUUGAAUCCAACUAAAGACCUUUUCUUUUAUUGUUUUUAUUUUAAGUUUAGCUUAGAGAUCAUAUUUGAGCUAUGUGUAUAUUGGUGCACCCAAAAUCUUCAAAUCCUAGGUUCACCUCUACUCUGAAAGAUGUUUUCAAGGGAAGACGGACUCCGCAGCUGCAGACAUGGCACUAUUACUAUAUUAUGCGAUGCUUUUAACUAAAAAAAAAAUGAAAACAAAAUGUCUUAGUGUUGUUCCAAGGUUGAGGUCGCGGGGCAAGCCUUCAAGACACGACUUCAAGUUGUUAGUACACUACCAGUCUCGGUCAUGGUUGAAGGUUACGAAGGAGGCUGGACUGAAUGAGAAGAAAUACCAAAAUCCUAAUUUGCAGCAAAGAGUGAAGGAUGCAUGGGCUUAGAGAAACUUAUAUAAGUACUCGAGACGGACUGGGUUAGAUUCUAUAGACUAGACUUGCGAAAUGGGCUCAAAAUCCUACCAAGCAAAACUGUAAAAAUUCACAAAUACUUAUUCUGGACAAAUCUGAACGCAUCAUAAUCUAGUAAGAUUCAUAAUAUUGAAAACUAGAAAUAUAUCUAAGUAAUUAAUUCCUAAACCACUGAAAUUUAUGUAGGUUUCUCUUUCAAUUUUGAUAUCACUAUAUAAGUUAUAUCCGCAACGCGUACAAAUCUAUAAAUUUAUGGACAAUUAAAAACAUGUGGUGUCUAAAAUUUAUAUGGCUAGAAUCUAGUAAUAUUUGUCUAAACUCCAACAAUAUAUAACUUUAAACACACAUAUUUGUGAUUAUAUUUAUUCCAAAAUGUCUAACGUGACGAAAUUGAAUACAUAUUAAAUGGCGAAAUCUAUGCACUUCAGACACUUAAAUUGACAUUAAAUUUUGUUGUAUAGUAUAAUUAUAGUCAAAACUACCUUUCAAUUACCUUUGAUUCAAAGUUGUGACAUUUGAUUGAUAGACUAUUUUUGGUAAAAUAACAUUUCAGAAAAUAGGUACGUUGAUUCAUUGAAUUAGCUUCAACUUGUAGACUUAUCAGUUAAACACGACUUCUGUAAUUAUUUAAUAUCGUGUUUAUUUGUUACUUAGCAAUCCUGUUAAUAAAACUACAAAACAGCUGGCUAUUUUAAUCACCAAACAUCCUUUUUGUAUAAGGUUCAGUAAAACAACAUUUUAUAAGCUAGUUCAGAGGCUUAAUAAAACAAACUUACUAAGCAUUAAGUUUCAAAAUUUGAAGACAACUCAGUAAAAGCAGAAAAGUUUUGACAUAAUAUUCCUACAAGAAACAAAAUUUGAAAUGGAGGCACAAAUAUUACAUCCCGGUGAAAGCUUUUUUCCCGCCACCACCAGAACCAGCUGGAAUCACCUUUAAGACAUUGAACCUCACGGUUUUGGAUAAAGGCCUG